GUCGUCUUAGCUCAGUUGGGAGAGCGUCGUAUGUCAUUGCCAACCAUCUCAUUCAAAACAUGAUCUCUAACUCGCACAAACAGAGACUGAAGCCUAACUCAGUCGAUAAAUCUGAAGGUCGUGUGUUCAAUCCACACAGACGACA